AUCAUUUUGAAGUCAAAUAAAAUAUCUAAGGGAGAGGGAGAGAGAGAACCGUGAAAGAGACAGAGAGGGACAGAGGAUCAUCCAUGGAAGCAUGGAAAAUUGAAGAGAUUAAAGGGGAAAAACAAGGAAUUAAGGUCGAAACGAGGACACCGUCCCAUUGCUACCGGGAGCCGAUCAUUUGGUACACAAACAUUUAUGACGAUUGGAAAUCAGUGUGAACUUAUAUGAACAUUGAAAGAUGUGCGCACAUCAGCACUCCACCUGGAGGUCAGUCUCAACCCAAGGCAUCCGUUCCUCUUAUGUCAACCUCAGGGUGUCCAGGCACUUAGAUGAAGGCAACUUAUUUUAUGGAGUUUUGCUAAACUUUUGAUUUUGUACCCUGAUUGUCUGUCUAAAGAGGAAGUGUAUAUAAUCCUUUUACCUUUCAAUGUUUUUGCUGUACGCCCAAUCUUGAGGGCUGGGUCUGUAUAUGUAUGUGUGUAAGCAUAUAGCUAAAUUCUCAGAUGCACGUCACUGUAUGUUUAUUUGCCUUACAUUCCGUUAGUGAUCCUGGCAUGGUAGUUAUAGCUCAAUGGAGAUGGUUUUCUGUUAUUUUAAAAUAUUAAUGC